rnacentral:rRNA from 1 species
CGCAGGUCCGGCUGGGGAGCGGAACGGCAUGGGAGGGCCGGCCGCAGCGGGUGACAGCCCCGUACGCGAACCCAGACCGGACGGCGCGACGCGGUCCCUGAGUAGGGCCGGGCACGUGAAACCCGGUCCGAACCUGGGUGGACCACCAUCCAAGCCUGAGUACUACCCUGUGACCGAUAGCGCACCAGUACCGUGAGGGAAAGGUGAAAAGCACCCCGGGAGGGGAGUGAAACAGUACCUGAAACCGUGCGCCCACGAGCAGUCGGAGCAACUUUCAGUUGUGACGGCGUGCCUUUUGUAGAAUGAGCCAGCGAGUCGCUGGCGCGGGGCGAGGUUAACCGAAAGGGAGCCGGAGCGAAAGCGAGCCUUAACAGGGCGACUUGAGUCCCGCGCCGCGGACGCGAAGCCGGGUGAGCUAUCCGUGGGCAGGCUGAAGCGGGGGUAAGACCCCGUGGAGGGCCGAACGCACGUCGGUUGAAAACGGCGGCGAUGACCUGCGGAUAGGGGUGAAAGGCCAAUCAAACCCGGAGAUAUCUCGUUCUCCCCGAAAUAGCUUUAGGGCUAGCGUCGCGCGUUCACCGCCGGAGGUAGAGCACCGGAUGGACGAGGGGGCUUCGCCGCCUACCGAAUCCAACCGAACUCCGAAUGCCGGCGGCCCAGAGCGCGGCAGUCAGAGCAUGUGGGCUAAGCUGUGUGCUCGAGAGGGAAACAGCCCGGACCGCCCGCUAAGGUCCCCAAGUUCCAGCCGAGUGGCAAAGGAUGUGCGUCCGCCCAGACAACCAGGAUGUUGGCUUAGAAGCAGCCAUACAUUCAAAGAGUGCGUAACAGCUCACUGGUCGAGUGGACAUGCGCCGACAAUACACGGGGCUAAGCUGGACACCGAAGCGGCGGGAUUUUGAUUUACAGAAUCGGUAGGGGAGCUUCCCAUGGGCGGAGAAGCCGGAGGGCGACCGACGGUGGAGCGCAUGGGAGUGAGAAUGCUGGCAUGAGUAGCGAGAGACGAGAGAGUAACUCGUCCGCCGUGAACCCGAGGUUUCCUGGGCAAGGCUAAUCCUCCCAGGGUCAGUCGGGGGCUAAGGCGAGGCCGGUAGGCGUAGCCGACGCGCAGCAGGCAGACAUUCCUGCACCGCGCACGCGGCGCUACGACCGACGGGGCGACGGAUGGGGGUGGCUCGGCGGGGUUCUGGACGUCCCCGUGAUGGAGCGCGGCCCGCGGACCAGGGAAAUCCGGUCCGCAUUGAGGGCGAGGCUCCGGACGAAGCACUUAAGCGAAGCGAGUGAGCCCGAGGUCCCUAGAAAAACCCCUAGGCAGGCGCGUGCGCGCCCGUACCGCAAACCGACACAGGUGGGUGGGUAGAACAUACCGAGGCGAUCGGGUCAACCAUGGUCAAGGAACUCGGCACAAUGGCCCCGUAACUUCGGGAGAAGGGGUGCCCGCGCGUACGUGAACCGGCUCGCCCGGGGAGCGGAGGCGGGCCGCAGUGGAGAGGCCCAAGCGACUGUUUACCAAAAACACAGGACUCUGCAGAAGCCGCAAGGCGACGUAUAGGGUCUGACGCCUGCCCGGUGCCGGAAGGUCACGCGGAGGAGUUAGCCGUUAAGGCGAAGCCCCGAAGCCAAGCCCCGGUAAACGGCGGCCGUAACUAUAACGGUCCUAAGGUAGCGAAAUUCCUUGUCAGGU